UACGGAGGGUGCAAGCGUUGUCCGGAGUCACUGGGCGUAAAGGGCGCGUAGGCGGCUCAUGAAGGCUGUGGUGAAAGUCCGGGGCUCAACCUCGGAUCGGCCGUGGCGACUCGUGGGCUGGAGCACUGUAGAGGCGGGUGGAAUUCCGGGUGUAGCGGUGGAAUGCGUAGAGAUCCGUAAGAACACCAGUGGCGAAGGCGGCCCGCUGGGCAGUGGCUGACGCUGAGGCGCGACAGCGUGGGGAGCAAACAGG
rnacentral:rRNA from 1 species